rnacentral:rRNA from 1 species
UCUAACUCCGUGCCAGCAACCGGUGUAAUACGGAGGAUCCAAGCUGUAUACGGAAUCAUUGGGGUUAAAGGGUCCUGAGGCGGCUUAAUAAGUCAGCGGUGAAAGUUUGCAGCUGAACGGCAAAAGUGCCAUUGAUACUGUUAGGCUUGAAUUAUUGUGAAGUAACUAGAAUAUGUAGUGUAGCGGUGAAAUGCUUAGAUAUUACAUGGAAUACCAAUUGCGAAGGCAGGUUACUAACAAUAGAUUGACGUUGAUGGACGAAAGCGUGGGUAGCGAACAGGAUUAGAUACCCUAGUAGUC